rnacentral:lncRNA from 1 species
AGGUAGCAAAAAGUUAUUUGAUAGUUUGAUGAUUUCAGAAGAUUCCAUGAUGCUCACCCCCAGGUAAAUUAUCUUUGUGAUGCUAACAAGGCAGGAACAAAGGCAAUGUUUGAUUUAGGCUCAGCACGUGGAGCGUACUGCCAAGGGGAACGAAAUAGUUGCCAUGAGGGUACAUCAGCUACUGGUCAGUCUUUCUCUUUCUGAAUUCUACUGGAAAGUCUGGCUUCCUGGAUGAAAAGCAACUGAGGCAUGACCCUGUCCUCUGUGCGCAGGCCAAGCAUGGGAGACAAUAAGGAUACCGAUGACUAAAAGACAGCAUGGUAAAUUGGAUAGAGGGAUAUAGAGAGGGUUAUGGGAGUCCAGAGAGAGGGCAUCCAAAUGAAGCUGGGUUAAGCCAUCAGGGAAGACUUCCUGGAGGAUGCAGUGCUUGACCUAAGUUUAGAUACAGAAGAAAGGAAAAGAUUUCGAACACCAUCACAGUCCAGGUCAGGAAAGGGUGUGCGGGGAAAUUUAGAAAGGGAACUUUUCUAAGAUCAAGUUAUUUUACAAAGAAGCAGCACUGGGAAAUCAAGGGAAUUUAAUUACAACUGCCUCACGAGCAGGAUUUGAAAAGGAGUGGGAAGCUCAUGGAAACCUUAAUUGCUGAGAAAAGUUAAGAGGAGAAAUAUGACAGAAGUAAUAGGUCUGUAUGUAUGUCAUGUCUGAUUUGUCAUUUUUCUAGACAGGCACUCUGCCUCCUGCCUUCUAGGUUAGAGGAAAAAAAGAUCCUUCGGCUGCUAAGGUGAAGAUAGCAUUUAGGAUGCAGAAAUGGGACUUGGAAGUACUCCUGAUUCCUUUUAGGGAAGAAAAGGUCCAUCUCGGCUUACCUCAUUGCUAAGAAGAAUAAUAAGCAUUUGUUCAGCGAUAAUAA